GCAGUAUGAGAUCUGAUUCCCACAAACAAGGCUUCAAAGAGUUCCCUACACUAUUGUUUAAUUAAAAAAAAAAAACCCUGAACAUUUCUGAUGCAUCUCAGUUUGUCCACCCAUUUGAACUCUCAUGUGCAGAAAAAGGUUAUAAUUUUGGCUAAAAGAUUUCUGACAUUAACUAUACUUAUAUGGCCUUUCUCCUGUGUGAAGUCUCUCAUGAUGAAGUAGUUGAUACUUUUGGAUGACUGCACUUAUAAGGCCUUUCUCCUGUGUGAACUGUCUGAUAACGAUAAAGGUGAGAUUUUCUUUUAAAAGAUUUCCCA